AAAAUUUUUUCUAAGGUGGAGAGAGGCAGCAGUCAUGUGAGAGGUCUUAUACCUGCUGUCUCCCGCAGCAGAGAGCAGCCCAUGGGGCCUAGAAGCGUCUCCUGAGUUGAAUGCCUACAGGAGGCCUCAGUACCCCUCAGCUUAGUGAUGAAGGAAAUAUGAAACACAAAACACAUUCCCUAAGGGAGCAUCUUCCUUAAGUCACUCUUGGUUGACUGUACUAGAAACCCUCUUCAAACCAGCUUUAGCAACGUAGUCUAAUCUACGUGGUUAAGAAUCUGGGGUUACCUCGCGGAAUGAGCCCUUAAUGCGAACAACCAGGCCUCAGGAAGAAAGGAAUGAGGAGCUGGAAAGUUCUGCUUCUUUUGGAGCCAAAACAGGGAUACAAGAAACUGAGGAAAGUUACAAGUAGGGGGCAGGCUUUCUUUCUGAAAGGAGAAGCGUCGAGAGUCUUCAGAGCACAGCAGCCCCAGACGCAGCCUUCACUGGAAAGAGAGAGCAGGAGCCAUCGGGAUGAAAUGUGAUGUCCCUACAGCUGGCUGGAUACAGUGCUUCUCGUCUGCCAGGAGGGUGUGUCUGUAUGUCUGCAUACCUGUGCCCUGGGAAGGACUGGUGGCUGAUGACACAAAAUACUGAUGACAGUAAUUCUGAUGUAUUGGACACCUACUCUGCACCAGACACUGUGAUAAAUUAUUUACCAAAUGA